AUUGAACGCUGGCGGCAUGCCUUACACAUGCAAGUCGAACGGCAGCACGGGAGCAAUCCUGGUGGCGAGUGGCGAACGGGUGAGUAAUAUAUCGGAACGUGCCCAGUCGUGGGGGAUAACGUAGCGAAAGCUACGCUAAUACCGCAUACGAUCUAUGGAUGAAAGCGGGGGAUCGCAAGACCUCGCGCGAUUGGAGCGGCCGAUAUCAGAUUAGGUUGUUGGUGGGGUAAAAGCCCACCAAGCCGACGAUCUGUAGCUGGUCUGAGAGGACGACCAGCCACACUGGGACUGAGACACGGCCCAGACUCCUACGGGAGGCUG
rnacentral:rRNA from 1 species